rnacentral:rRNA from 1 species
UACGGAGUGUGCAAGCGUUACUCGGAAUCACUGGGCAUAAAGCGCGCGUAGGCGGGUAAUCAAGUCGGUUGUGAAAUCUCCGGGCUUAACCCGGAAAGGUCAAUCGAUACUGCAGGGCUAGAGUGCAGAAGGGGCAACUGGAAUUCUCGGUGUAGCGGUGAAAUGCGUAGAUAUCGAGAGGAACACCUGCGGCGAAGGCGGGUUGCUGGGCUGACACUGACGCUGAAGCGCGAAAGCUAGGGGAGCGAACGGG